rnacentral:SRP_RNA from 1 species
GCUGGGCAUGGUGGCGCAUGCCUGUAAUCCCAGCUACUCGGGAGGCUGAGGCACAAGAAUCGUUUGAACCCAGGAGGCGGAGGUUGCAGUGAGCCGAGAUCGUGCCACUGCACUCCAGCCUGGGCUACAGAAUGAGAUUCUGCCUCAA